CCCAGACUCCUACGGGAGGCAGCAGUGAGGAAUAUUGGUCAAUGGGCGCGAGCCUGAACCAGCCAAGUCGCGUGAGGGAUGACGGCCCUACGGGUUGUAAACCUCUUUUGUCGGGGAGCAAAUUCCGUUACGUGUAACGGAGUCGAGAGUACCCGAAGAAAAAGCAUCGGCUAACUCCGUGCCAGCAGCCGCGGUAAUACGGAGGAUGCGAGCGUUAUCCGGAUUUAUUGGGUUUAAAGGGUGCGUAGGCGGGCAGUAAAAGCAGGAGUAAAAAACCGGGGCCACCCCCCCGGCCCGCCGUUGAAACUGGCAGUCUCGAGUUGGAGAGAAGUAUGCGGAAUGCGCGGUGUAGCGGUGAAAUGCAUAGAUAUCGCGCAGAACUCCGAUUGCGAAGGCAGCAUGCCGGCUCCACACUGACGCUGAGGCACGAAAGCGUGGGUAUCGAACAGGAUUAGAUACCCGAGUAC
rnacentral:rRNA from 1 species